UUAGGGUUUAAAACCCUAAUGCUGACUAAAGGGAAGAGUUCAGUUUAGGAUUUAAAACCCUAAUGCUAACUAAAUGGAAAGAGUUCAGUUUAGGGUUUAAAACCCUAAUGCUGACUAAAGGGAGGAGUUCAGUUUAGGGUUUAAAACCCUAAUGCUGACUAAAGGGAGGAGUUCAGUUUAGGGUUUAAAACCCUAAUGCUGACUAAAGGGAGGAGUUCAGUUUAGGGUUUAAAACCCCUAAUGCUGACUAAAUGGAAAAAGUUCAGUUUAGGGUUUUAAAACCCUAAUCCUGAUCAAAGGGAAAAGUUCAGUUUAGGGUUUAAAACCCUAAUCCUGAUUAAAGGGAAAAGUUCAGUUUAGGGUUUAAAACCCUAAUCCUGAUUAAAGGAAAAAGUUCAGUUUAAGGUUUAAAACCCUAAUGCUGACUAAAUGGAAAGAGUUCAGUUUAGGGUUUAAAACCCUAAUGCUGACUAAAGGGAAAGUUCAGUUUAGGGUUUAAAACCCUAAUACUGACUGGCUGGAAAAAGUUCAGUUUAGGGUUUUAAAACCCUAAUGCUGACUGAAGGAAAAGUUCAGUUUAGGGUUUAAAACCCUAAUGCUGACUAAAGGAAAGAGUUCAGUUUAGGGUUUUAAAACCCUAAUCCUGAUUAAACGGAAAAGUUCAGUUUAGGGUUUAAAACCCUAAUGCUGAUUAAAGGAAAAAGUUCAGUUUAGGGUUUAAAACCCUAAUCCUGACUAAAUGGAAAAGUUCAGUUUAGGGUUUAAAACCCUAAUCCUGAUUAAAUGGAAAAGUUCAGUUUAGGGUUUUAAAACCCUUGCCAAACUGUUUCUUGUACUCAUGUACCUUCUUCGUUGGGUGACACCUGCUUCUUGCACGGUUGUCUUGGAUUAUACCUGUUUCAACUUCUCAAACAAAGAACAAUUGUUAGUUCGGAAAUGGCGGUUGGUUCGGUGACCUUGAUUGUUCCCAUUGCUUUGUUGCGUCCUUAUUUCUGUUGAGAAAUCCUGCCAUUGAUUGGAUUCAAAUGGCGAAACCCUUUUAGACUGCUCAGGCUUGUAUUUCCAAAUUCCGUGAUGAUUUGCCUUGUAAG
rnacentral:lncRNA from 1 species